UCAUUUUAAAUCCGAUUUCAGCGAUUCUCGCGCUCACGCGAUCGUCUCUGCAUGAGCGUUAGAUUUAGGAGUUUGUUGUAAGCCUUUGCAUAUGUUUGUUGUACUGUUUUAUUUAUUCUUUGUUUGUUUGCCUUGUGUGAUCGUGUAGACGACGUGACGUUCGCGGAGGAGCAAGUCCAAGAGCAGCCACCGUUCGAAGAAGAGUUCUCCCAGUUUGCCGAGGAAG
rnacentral:lncRNA from 1 species